GACGAACCGUCCAAACGUUAUUCGGAAUUACUGGGCUUAAAGGGUGCGUAGGCGGCUCUGCAAGUUGGGUGUGAAAUCCCUCGGCUCAACCGAGGAAUGGCGCCCAAAACUGUGGAGCUCGAGGGAGACAGAGGUGAGUGGAACUUGUGGUGGAGCGGUGAAAUGCGUUGAUAUCAGGAGGAACACCGAUGGCGAAGGCAGAUCUCUGGGCCAUUACUGACGCUGAGGAGCGAAAGCAUGGGUAGCGAACAGGAUUAGAUACCCGGGUA
rnacentral:rRNA from 1 species